AGAGUUUGAUCAUGGCUCAGAUUGAACGCUGGCGGCAGGCCUAACACAUGCAAGUCGAACGGUAACAGGAAACAGCUUGCUGUUUCGCUGACGAGUGGCGGACGGGUGAGUAAUGUCUGGGAAACUGCCUGAUGGAGGGGGAUAACUACUGGAAACGGUAGCUAAUACCGCAUAACGUCGCAAGACCAAAGAGGGGGACCUUCGGGCCUCUUGCCAUCGGAUGUGCCCAGAUGGGAUUAGCUUGUUGGUGGGGUAACGGCUCACCAAGGCGACGAUCCCUAGCUGGUCUGAGAGGAUGACCAGCCACACUGGAACUGAGACACGGUCCAGACUCCUACGGGAGGCAGCAGUGGGGAAUAUUGCACAAUGGGCGCAAGCCUGAUGCAGCCAUGCCGCGUGUAUGAAGAAGGCCUUCGGGUUGUAAAGUACUUUCAGCGGGGAGGAAGGGAGUAAAGUUAAUACCUUUGCUCAUUGACGUUACCCGCAGAAGAAGCACCGGCUAACUCCGUGCCAGCAGCCGCGGUAAUACGGAGGGUGCAAGCGUUAAUCGGAAUUACUGGGCGUAAAGCGCACGCAGGCGGUUUGUUAAGUCAGAUGUGAAAUCCCCGGGCUCAACCUGGGAACUGCAUCUGAUACUGGCAAGCUUGAGUCUCGUAGAGGGGGGUAGAAUUCCAGGUGUAGCGGUGAAAUGCGUAGAGAUCUGGAGGAAUACCGGUGGCGAAGGCGGCCCCCUGGACGAAGACUGACGCUCAGGUGCGAAAGCGUGGGGAGCAAACAGGAUUAGAUACCCUGGUAGUCCACGCCGUAAACGAUGUCGACUUGGAGGUUGUGCCCUUGAGGCGUGGCUUCCGGAGCUAACGCGUUAAGUCGACCGCCUGGGGAGUACGGCCGCAAGGUUAAAACUCAAAUGAAUUGACGGGGGCCCGCACAAGCGGUGGAGCAUGUGGUUUAAUUCGAUGCAACGCGAAGAACCUUACCUGGUCUUGACAUCCACAGAACUUUCCAGAGAUGGAUUGGUGCCUUCGGGAACUGUGAGACAGGUGCUGCAUGGCUGUCGUCAGCUCGUGUUGUGAAAUGUUGGGUUAAGUCCCGCAACGAGCGCAACCCUUAUCCUUUGUUGCCAGCGGUCCGGCCGGGAACUCAAAGGAGACUGCCAGUGAUAAACUGGAGGAAGGUGGGGAUGACGUCAAGUCAUCAUGGCCCUUACGACCAGGGCUACACACGUGCUACAAUGGCGCAUACAAAGAGAAGCGACCUCGCGAGAGCAAGCGGACCUCAUAAAGUGCGUCGUAGUCCGGAUUGGAGUCUGCAACUCGACUCCAUGAAGUCGGAAUCGCUAGUAAUCGUGGAUCAGAAUGCCACGGUGAAUACGUUCCCGGGCCUUGUACACACCGCCCGUCACACCAUGGGAGUGGGUUGCAAAAGAAGUAGGUAGCUUAACCUUCGGGAGGGCGCUUACCACUUUGUGAUUCAUGACUGGGGUGAAGUCGUAACAAGGUAACCGUAGGGGAACCUGCGGUUG
rnacentral:rRNA from 4 species